ensembl:misc_RNA Metazoa_SRP Metazoan signal recognition particle RNA
GCUGGGUGUGGUGGCGGGCGCCUGUAAUCCCAGCUACUCAGGAGGCUGAGGCAGGAGAAUUGCUUGAACCCAGGAGGUGGAGGUUGCAGUGAGCCAAGAUCACACCACUGCACUCUAGCCUGGGUGACAGAGCAAGACUUGGUCUCAA